CUUACAUUCUAUCUCCCCACAGGUCAGGGCUGCAGUGGCAUAGGUAUCUCACUUGUCUGAAAGGAAUAAACAAAGCUGAAUGAAGUCCCUGUUGCUUCCCCUUGCUAUGACAAGUACAAGGAGCAAAAAUUACUAGGACCACUGCUCCAACAAAGCCUGUUGAUAGGAGCACUUCAAAAAGAAGUUUAUUUCUUUAAGAAGCAUAAAGAGCUGACCUACAGUUAAGGUCUCGUCCAUUUUCAAAGCCAUAGUCCAUGUAUGAGGACACACCACAGAUCCCAAUAGGAGAACUGCACAAGGGAAAGAAGAGAGCAUGCAGUGCAACACAUCCAAGUGGAGAUCUCUAGCUAUGCUGACAGUGGACUGCCCUUCCUCCCUCCAUCAAUCUCCUCUUUGGUCUUACUCUCAGUGCUCUCUCCCAGUCACUGCACAGAGUUAGCCAAUACACAUUCGUUAUAUUAGCACUGCUCUUCCCAGAAUGGGGCAAAACCCUAAAACAGGCAAUUCUUUGAUCUUCAUCUCCCCAAGUUCUGCCCAGGCUGCUUCAGCAGCAUGUAAUGAGCUCCUAUCCUGUGCAAUGAGUAGUCAUGACAAAACCCCAAAAUUACACAGAUAAAUCAUUGUCUCCUCUCAUGAUACCAAGAACAGUAAUUAUUCUGCCAAAUUAACCUGCCUCCAAAUCAAGCCUUUGGUCUUGCACUCCAGGAAGUUUUAAGAGUAGGAAUUUGAAGUACUCUUAGUACUCAGAUGAGAUCAGAAGCAGGAGUGGAAAGCUAUAAUGGAGAGCUAUAUGCCCCUCCCCUGCCCCUGUGUAAGUCAGGCUGACAGCUCCAGAGCUGGUGGUUAAGUUGUCACACCAGCAUUCCAGGGAUCUGUGAAACCUGAACACACAGCACCCUAAGCUUGUCAUUAUGUACCAAAAAGAAACAUUGCCAUGCUAAGCUAAUAGAUUAUCACGUCUUCUUUAACCAUGUGACCGAAGAUCAUCCUGGACACUAUAAAUUGCUGCAUAAUUUCAGCUCUGAAGAAAAAUCUGAAGAGUUUUAAAUACCAUUUUUACUGGCUAUGACCCCCCCCCCGCCACAUUCCACCUUGUAUAUUUCUCUAGGAAACAUGAGCAUCACAGUGCCCAAGUCCCAUCUCUUUCUGGUCCCUUGCAUUCACUGCCUUGCACCACCCUGUUGUAGGAGAAACAUGAUCCAAGGUGAA